GCGCGAUUAGCUCAGAUGGAUAGAGCGUCGGCCUCCGAAGCCGAAGGCCAGUGGUUCGAGUCCACUAUCGCGCACCA
rnacentral:tRNA from 1 species